CGCCAUGCUGGCCAGGCUGGUCUCAGGUGAUCCGCCCGCCUCCUAAAGUGCUGGGAUUACAGGUGUGGGCCACCGCGCCCGACCUACAGGCGCCUUUUUAUUUGCGAUUUUAAGGUCCUUGCAAUUAGCCUACGUGUUAGAGUCAUUUGGCGUUUGGUAGUAUCCAUGGCAGCAUUUUUUUCUUUCUUAACGCUAUUGUAUUUCUUGGAUCGGGUGUCUUCACAUCACCGGCCUGUGGCUUGGAUGCGGCACAUGGUGUAAUUAGGAGCUCCCCUGUGGGCAUGCAGAUACAGAUAUUUCUCCACUUAAGAAGGGGUCAGGGGGCGCGGUGGCUCACACCUGUAAUCCCAGCACUUUGGGAUGCUGAGGCAGGCGGAUCACCUGAGGUCAGGAGUUCGAGACCAGCCUGACCAACAUAGUGAAACCCCAUCUCUACUAAAAGUACAAAAAUUAGCUGGGCGUGGUGGCGCUUAAUCCCAGCUACUCAAGAGGCUGAGGCAGGAGAAUAACUUGAACCCAGGAAGCGGAGGUUGCAGUGAGCAGAGAUCGACAAGAGCAAGACUCCGCCUAAAAAAAAAAAAAAAAAUGGGGUCAAGUCCCAGUGAACCCAUCAUGAAGUCGAAACAUCGUAAGUGAAACCACGAUGUUCACAGGUACCUGGAGUUUCUUCCUUCUGGUGGGUUCGUGGUCUCACUGACUUCAGGAGUAAAGCCGCAGACCUUCGCACUUCAUUUCUGGAACCUAAGUUGAUUUCUGUCAGAAGACUGGAGGUGUGUCGCUCUUGCUGAGAAUUUGGAACUGGAGCAGGGGGUGCGUGUGGAUACCCACGCUCUCAAACGAGAGAGAGCCAAGAAACGCAUUUGAGAAAUCGGGGUGGAGUGUGAAAGAGGAUUCACUAGACAUUAUGUUAACUAUGGAUUCUUCUAUG